rnacentral:tRNA from 6 species
GUCCCCAUCGUCUAGAGGCCUAGGACAUCGCCCUUUCACGGCGAUAACAGGGGUUCGAAUCCCCUUGGGGACGCCA